CCGACACAAAAUCUUCACAAAUGUAAAUAUAGAUGUAUACUGAAGUUUCUGUUGCUUUCAUCAGCUGUUUUCAAGACGCACGUCUGACAAUGUGAACGCAUUUUUUGCCUAAUUGCGUCUAUGCGGAUAUCGAUUGCAGACGCGCCCAUUGUAAAAAGGCUAUUAAACGACGCCUAAUUAAUG